GGGAAAAAAACUAGUUUAACUCUUAUUUAUCAAUUAAUUACUAGUUUAACUCUAAUUUUAUUUUAAUUACUAGCUUGUUUUUCAUACCUAAUUUACCCCUAUUUCCUUUGUUAACAAAAAAUAUAAUUACAAAAAUGCCAUUACUGAAUUUUCGGAAUAUUUACAAUUUUACCAUCCACAGAUUUAUUUUGUCUACGUUUUAUGUAGCCACAGACUUAAAUAUAUUCUUCUUUAGCAACAGAUUUACUUAAAAUCUAUAGACUUAAUAAAAUUUCUACAGACUUGUUAUAACAAAUUUGUC
rnacentral:lncRNA from 1 species